UACAGAGGGUGCGAGCGUUGUCCGGAAUCAUUGGGCGUAAAGAGCGUGUAGGCGGCCACUUAAGUCCUGCGUGAAAUCUUGCGGCUCAACCGCAAGCGGUCGUGGGAAACUGGGUGGCUAGAGUGCGGGAGAGGAGAGUGGAAUUCCUGGUGUAGCGGUGGAAUGCGCAGAUAUCAGGAGGAACACCGGUGGCGAAGGCGGGUCUCUGGGCCGAUACUGACGCUGAGGAGCGAAAGCGUGGGGAGCGAACAGG
rnacentral:rRNA from 1 species